rnacentral:lncRNA from 1 species
AAACACUUAAAACACAGGGCUCAGUCUUAAGGUGCUUCCCUUUUGGAAAAAGUGGUUUGGAUUAAAUCUACACUCAGUCCUGAAGGGCCAAGACUCUGCUCUCUUCCAACAGCAGGUUUUUGUGAGGACAGAGUUUUGAGAUUCCUGGGGAUGGGGAAGACAUGGGCAUGACGGAGAAGAAGGGGCAAGCACAGAAGACAAAUCUGGAUAACCUGAUGGUUUUGUGAUGGGUGAUGCUGUUUUGCUGAAGCAAUGUGGGACAGUGCAAUCUUUCCAUGUGACCAGAAGCAGAUGAGAACCAAGUAUUAGAGAUCAGUGGUGGAGAUCACAACUCCCAACUCCUCCCACAGGACAUCACGCUCCCAAACCCCCAUCCCUCAAGAUUUAUGAAUCCUAGCUUGAGGACUACUGCUUUUGUACGUGUAGAAUUGAUUUUCUUUUCCUGUUCCUGUAUUCCAAGAUCUGCAAAGUCAAGGAGACAACGUGAAACCAAAAUGGAAUCCGGUGGAGAAAGUGAAGAAUGUAGCCACUGAGCUGGGCCACAGGAGCUGGUCAUCAAGGCUAAUCUACAAGGUCAAAGGUAAAAUGGUGGUAGAAUGAAGGAGUUCAUGGCACUACACAGCAAUCCUUUCUUCUUGAGUGACCAUGGUGCAAUGCAGAGAAAUAUGAGGACAUCAGAUUAAAAUGCUAUCAUAAGAUCUUUUCCAUCAAUUCCUACUCCGAAACACUCAAAAGAAAAUAGGGAAACGAGAAACACAGGCACGAAUUUCAUCUUUGAUGAAACAAGGAAAAUUGGUUACCCCAAAUCACAAUUUAUGAGGGAGGGAUGGCAAUGGCAGUGAGAAUCACACAGGAAUGUGUAGGGACUGAGAAAGGAUGCUUCAGCUGCUAAUGUCAGACAAAGCUGGUGGGAUAAAACGUGACUAUCCUAAGAUUCAAAAUCAACAGUCUGUAAUUGAAACAAUUGGAAUGAACACAUAGUCUGAUUGUAGACAUAUCUCUGGACCCCAUUUGGCAGAGACAUGAAACACAGUAGGCAAGACUGAUGGUGAGAGAGUUACCCAAACAAGCCACAUGUGUAAGAAGCAGUCAGUCAGUGAGGAAGAGUAGUAUG